rnacentral:lncRNA from 1 species
GAGGCGGCGUGCCAGGCGCAGGGCUGGGAGGCGCAGGCGACGGCGGGGGCACACCCGGCGUGGGGCUGGGCGGCUCCGGCGAAGGCGGCGGAGUACCAGGCGCAGGGCUGGGAGGCGCAGGCGACGGCGGGGGUACACCCGGACCGGGGCUGGGCGGCUCCGGCGAAGGCGGCGGCGUGCCAGGCGCAGGGCUGGGAGGCGCAGGCGACGGCGGGGGCACGCCCGGCGCGGGGCUGGGCGGCUCCGGCGAAGGAGGCGGCGUGCCAGGCGCAGGGCUGGGAGGCGCAGGCGACGGCGGGGGCACACCCGGUCCGGGGCUGGGCGGCUCCGGCGAAGGCGGCGGCGUGCCAGGCGCAGGGCUGGGAGGCGCAGGCGACGGCGGGGGCACACCCGGCGCGGGGCUGGGCGGCUCCGGCGAAGGCGGCGGCGUGCCAGGCGCAGGGCUGGGAGGCGCAGGCGACGGCGGGGGCACACCCGGCGCGGGGCUGGGCGGCUCCGGCGAAGGCGGCGGCGUGCCAGGCGCAGGGCUGGGAGGCGCAGGCGACGGCGGGGGCACACCCGGCGCGGGGCUGGGCGGCUCCGGCGAAGGCGGUGGCGUGCCAGGCGCAGGGCUGGGAGGCGCAGGCGACGGCGGGGGCACACCCGGCGCGGGGCUAGGCGGCUCUGGCGAAGGCGGCGGCGUACCAGGCGCAGGGCUGGGAGGCGCAGGCGACGGCGGGGGCACACCCGGACCGGGGCUGGGCGGCUCCGGCGAAGGUGGCGGCGUGCCAGGCGCGGGGCUGGGAGGCGCAGGCGACGGCGGGGGCACACCCGGCGCGGGGCUGGGCGGCUCCGGCGAAGGCGGCGCAGGGCUGGGAGGCGCAGGGCUGGGCGGCUCCGGCGAAGGCGGCGGCGUGCCAGGCGCAGGGCUGGGAGGCGAAGGCGAAGGCGGGGGCACACCCGGCGCGGGGCUGGGCGGCUCCGGCGAAGGCGGCGGCGUGCCAGGCGCAGGGCUGGGAGGCGCAGGCGACGGCGGGGGCACACCCGGCGCGGGGCUGGGCGGCUCCGGCGAAGGUGGCGGCGUGCCAGGCGCAGGGCUGGGAGGCGCAGGCGACGGCGGGGGUACACCCGGACCGGGGCUGGGCGGCUCCGGCGAAGGCGGCGGCGUGCCAGGCGCAGGGCUGGGAGGCGCAGGCGACGGCGGGGGCACACCCGGCGCGGGGCUGGGCGGCUCCGGCGAAGGUGGCGGCGUGCCAGGCGCAGGGCUGGGAGGCGCAGGCGACGGCGGGGGCACACCCGGCGCGGGGCUGGGCGGCUCCGGCGAAGGCGGCGGCGUGCCAGGCGCAGGGCUGGGAGGCGCAGGCGACGGCGGGGGCACGCCCGGCGCGGGGCUGGGCGGCUCCGGCGAAGGCGGCGGCGUGCCAGGCGCAGGGCUGGGAGGCGCAGGCGACGGCGGGGGCACGCCCGGACCGGGGCUGGGCGGCUCCGGCGAAGGCGGCGGCGUGCCAGGCGCAGGGCUGGGAGGCGCAGGCGACGGCGGGGGCACACCCGGCGCGGGGCUGGGCGGCUCCGGCGAAGGCGGCGGAGUACCAGGCGCAGGGCUGGGAGGGGCAGGCGACGGCGGGGGCACACCCGGCGCGGGGCUGGGCGGCUCCGGCGAAGGCGGCGGCGUGCCAGGCGCAGGGCUGGGAGGCGCAGGGCGACGGCGGGGGCACACCCGGCGCGGGGCUGGGCGGCUCCGGCGAAGGCGGCGGCGUGCCAGGCGCAGGGCUGGGAGGCGCAGGCGACGGCGGGGGCACACCCGGCGCGGGGCUGGGCGGCUCCGGCGAAGGUGGCGGCGUGCCAGGCGCAGGGCUGGGAGGCGCAGGCGACGGCGGGGGCACACCCGGACCGGGGCUGGGCGGCUCCGGCGAAGGCGGCGGCGUGCCAGGCGCAGGGCUGGGAGGCGCAGGCGACGGCGGGGGCACACCCGGCGCGGGGCUGGGCGGCUCCGGCGAAGGCGGCGGCGUGCCAGGCGCAGGGCUGGGAGGUGCAGGCGACGGCGGGGGCACACCCGGCGCGGGGCUGGGCGGCUCCGGCGAAGGCGGUGGCGUGCCAGGCGCAGGGCUGGGAGGCGCAGGCGACGGCGGGGGCACACCCGGCGCGGGGCUAGGCGGCUCUGGCGAAGGCGGCGCAGGGCUGGGAGGCGCAGGGCUGGGAGGCGCAGGCGACGGCGGGGGCACACCCGGUGCGGGGCUGGGCGGCUCCGGCGAAGGCGGCGGAGUACCAGGCGCAGGGCUGGGAGGCGCAGGCGACGGCGGGGGCACGCCCGGACCGGGGCUGGGCGGCUCCGGCGAAGGUGGCGGCGCACCAGGCGCGGGGCUGGGAGGCGCAGGCGACGGCGGGGGCACGCCCGGCGCGGGGCUGGGCGGCUCCGGCGAAGGAGGCGGCGUGCCAGGCGCAGGGCUGGGAGGCGCAGGCGACGGCGGGGGCACACCCGGUCCGGGGCUGGGCGGCUCCGGCGAAGGCGGCGGCGUGCCAGGCGCAGGGCUGGGAGGCGCAGGCGACGGCGGGGGCACACCCGGCGCGGGGCUGGGCGGCUCCGGCGAAGGCGGCGGCGUGCCAGGCGCAGGGCUGGGAGGCGCAGGCGACGGCGGGGGCACACCCGGCGCGGGGCUGGGCGGCUCCGGCGAAGGCGGCGGCGUGCCAGGCGCAGGGCUGGGAGGCGCAGGCGACGGCGGGGGCACACCCGGCGCGGGGCUGGGCGGCUCCGGCGAAGGCGGUGGCGUGCCAGGCGCAGGGCUGGGAGGCGCAGGCGACGGCGGGGGCACACCCGGCGCGGGGCUAGGCGGCUCUGGCGAAGGCGGCGGCGUACCAGGCGCAGGGCUGGGAGGCGCAGGCGACGGCGGGGGCACACCCGGACCGGGGCUGGGCGGCUCCGGCGAAGGUGGCGGCGUGCCAGGCGCGGGGCUGGGAGGCGCAGGCGACGGCGGGGGCACACCCGGCGCGGGGCUGGGCGGCUCCGGCGAAGGCGGCGCAGGGCUGGGAGGCGCAGGGCUGGGAGGCGCAGGCGACGGCGGGGGCACACCCGGCGCAGGGCUGGGCGGCUCCGGCGAAGGCGGUGGCGUGCCAGGCGCAGGGCUGGGAGGCGCAGGCGACGGCGGGGGCACACCCGGCGCGGGGCUAGGCGGCUCUGGCGAAGGCGGCGCAGGGCUGGGAGGCGCAGGGCUGGGAGGCGCAGGCGACGGCGGGGGCACACCAGGUCCGGGGCUGGGCGGCUCCGGCGAAGGCGGCGGCGUGCCAGGCGCAGGGCUGGGAGGCGCAGGCGACGGAGGGGGCACACCCGGCGCGGGGCUGGGCGGCUCCGGCGAAGGCGGCGGCGUGCCAGGCGCAGGGCUGGGAGGCGCAGGCGACGGAGGGGGCACACCCGGCGCGGGGCUGGGCGGCUCCGGCGAAGGCGGCGGCGUGCCAGGCGCAGGGCUGGGAGGCGCAGGCGACGGCGGGGGCACACCCGGACCGGGGCUGGGCGGCUCCGGCGAAGGCGGCGGCGUGCCAGGCGCAGGGCUGGGAGGCGCAGGCGACGGCGGGGGCACACCCGGCGCGGGGCUAGGCGGCUCUGGCGAAGGCGGCGCAGGGCUGGGAGGCGCAGGGCUGGGAGGCGCAGGCGACGGCGGGGGCACACCCGGCGCGGGGCUGGGCGGCUCCGGCGAAGGAGGCGGCGUGCCAGGCGCAGGGCUGGGAGGCGCAGGCGACGGAGGGGGCACACCCGGCGCGGGGCUGGGCGGCUCCGGCGAAGGCGGCGGCGCGCCAGGCGCAGGGCUAGGAGGCGCAGGCGACGGCGGGGGCACACCCGGCGCAGGGCUGGGCGGCUCUGGCGAAGGAGGCGGCGUGCCAGGCGCAGGGCUGGGAGGCGCAGGCGACGGAGGGGGCACACCCGGCGCGGGGCUGGGCGGCUCCGGCGAAGGCGGCGGCGCGCCAGGCGCAGGGCUAGGAGGCGCAGGCGACGGCGGGGGCACACCCGGCGCGGGGCUGGGCGGCUCCGGCGAAGGCGGCGGCGUGCCAGGCGCAGGGCUGGGAGGCGCAGGCGACGGCGGGGGCACACCAGGUCCGGGGCUAGGCGGCUCUGGCGAAGGCGGCGGCGUGCCAGGCGCAGGGCUGGGAGGCGCAGGCGACGGAGGGGGCACACCCGGCGCGGGGCUGGGCGGCUCCGGCGAAGGCGGCGGCGUGCCAGGCGCAGGGCUGGGAGGCGCAGGCGACGGCGGGGGCACACCCGGCGCGGGGCUGGGCGGCUCCGGCGAAGGCGGCGGCGUGCCAGGCGCAGGGCUGGGAGGCGCAGGCGACGGCGGGGGCACACCCGGCGCGGGGCUAGGCGGCUCCGGCGAAGGCGGCGGAGUACCAGGCGCAGGGCUGGGAGGCGCAGGCGACGGCGGGGGCACACCAGGUCCGGGGCUGGGCGGCUCCGGCGAAGGAGGCGGCGUGCCAGGCGCAGGGCUGGGAGGCGCAGGCGACGGAGGGGGCACACCCGGCGCGGGGCUGGGCGGCUCCGGCGAAGGCGGCGGCGCGCCAGGCGCAGGGCUAGGAGGCGCAGGCGACGGCGGGGGCACACCCGGCGCAGGGCUGGGCGGCUCCGGCGAAGGAGGCGGCGUGCCAGGCGCAGGGCUGGGAGGCGCAGGCGACGGCGGGGGCACACCCGGCGCGGGGCUAGGCGGCUCUGGCGAAGGCGGCGCAGGGCUGGGAGGCGCAGGGCUGGGAGGCGCAGGCGACGGCGGGGGCACACCCGGCGCGGGGCUGGGCGGCUCCGGCGAAGGCGGCGGCGUGCCAGGCGCAGGGCUGGGAGGCGCAGGCGACGGCGGGGGCACACCCGGCGCAGGGCUGGGCGGCUCCGGCGAAGGCGGCGGCGUGCCAGGCGCAGGGCUGGGAGGCGCAGGCGACGGAGGGGGCACACCCGGCGCGGGGCUAGGCGGCUCCGGCGAAGGCGGCGGCGUGCCAGGCGCAGGGCUGGGAGGCGCAGGCGACGGCGGGGGCACACCCGGCGCGGGGCUGGGCGGCUCCGGCGAAGGCGGCGGCGUGCCAGGCGCAGGGCUGGGAGGCGCAGGCGACGGCGGGGGCACACCCGGCGCGGGGCUGGGCGGCUCCGGCGAAGGUGGCGGAGUACCAGGCGCAGGGCUGGGAGGCGCAGGCGACGGCGGGGGCACACCCGGCGCAGGGCUGGGCGGCUCCGGCGAAGGCGGCGGCGUGCCAGGCGCAGGGCUAGGAGGCGCAGGCGACGGAGGGGGCACACCCGGCGCGGGGCUAGGCGGCUCCGGCGAAGGUGGCGGCGUACCAGGCGCAGGGCUGGGAGGCGCAGGCGACGGCGGGGGCACACCCGGCGCGGGGCUGGGCGGCUGCGGCGAAGGUGGCGGCGUACCAGGCGCAGGGCUGGGAGGCGCAGGCGACGGCGGGGGCACACCCGGCGCGGGGCUAGGCGGCUCCGGCGAAGGCGGCGGAGUACCAGGCGCAGGGCUGGGAGGCGCAGGCGACGGCGGGGGCACACCCGGCGCGGGGCUAGGCGGCUCCGGCGAAGGCGGCGGAGUACCAGGCGCAGGGCUGGGAGGCGCAGGCGACGGCGGGGGCACACCCGGCGCGGGGCUAGGCGGCUCCGGCGAAGGUGGCGGAGUACCAGGCGCAGGGCUGGGAGGCGCAGGCGACGGCGGGGGCACACCAGGUCCGGGGCUGGGCGGCUCCGGCGAAGGUGGCGGCGUGCCAGGCGCAGGGCUGGGAGGCGCAGGCGACGGCGGGGGCACACCCGGCGCGGGGCUGGGCGGCUGCGGAGAAGGAGGCGGCGUGCCAGGCGCAGGGCUGGGAGGCGCAGGCGACGGCGGGGGCACACCCGGCGCGGGGCUGGGCGGCUCCGGCGAAGGCGGCGGCGCGCCAGGCGCAGGGCUGGGAGGCGCAGGCGACGGCGGGGGCACACCCGGCGCGGGGCUAGGCGGCUCUGGCGAAGGCGGCGGCGUGCCAGGCGCAGGGCUGGGAGGCGCAGGCGACGGAGGGGGCACACCCGGCGCGGGGCUGGGCGGCUCCGGCGAAGGCGGCGGCGUGCCAGGCGCAGGGCUGGGAGGCGCAGGCGACGGAGGGGGCACACCCGGCGCGGGGCUGGGCGGCUCCGGCGAAGGCGGCGGCGUGCCAGGCGCAGGGCUGGGAGGCGCAGGCGACGGCGGGGGCACACCCGGCGCGGGGCUGGGCGGCUCCGGCGAAGGCGGCGGCGUGCCAGGCGCAGGGCUGGGAGGCGCAGGCGACGGCGGGGGCACACCCGGCGCGGGGCUAGGCGGCUCCGGCGAAGGCGGCGGAGUACCAGGCGCAGGGCUGGGAGGCGCAGGCGACGGCGGGGGCACACCAGGUCCGGGGCUGGGCGGCUCCGGCGAAGGAGGCGGCGUGCCAGGCGCAGGGCUGGGAGGCGCAGGCGACGGCGGGGGCACACCCGGCGCGGGGCUGGGCGGCUCCGGCGAAGGCGGCGGAGUACCAGGCGCAGGGCUGGGAGGCGCAGGCGACGGCGGGGGCACACCCGGCGCGGGGCUAGGCGGCUCCGGCGAAGGCGGCGGAGUACCAGGCGCAGGGCUGGGAGGCGCAGGCGACGGCGGGGGCACACCCGGCGCGGGGCUAGGCGGCUCCGGCGAAGGCGGCGGCGUACCAGGCGCAGGGCUGGGAGGCGCAGGCGACGGCGGGGGCACACCCGGCGCGGGGCUAGGCGGCUCCGGCGAAGGUGGCGGCGUACCAGGCGCAGGGCUGGGAGGCGCAGGCGACGGCGGGGGCACACCCGGCGCGGGGCUGGGCGGCUCCGGCGAAGGAGGCGGCGUGCCAGGCGCAGGGCUGGGAGGCGCAGGCGACGGAGGGGGCACACCCGGCGCGGGGCUGGGCGGCUCCGGCGAAGGCGGCGGCGUGCCAGGCGCAGGGCUGGGAGGCGAAGGCGAAGGCGGGGGCACACCCGGACCGGGGCUGGGCGGCUCCGGCGAAGGCGGCGCAGGGGUGGGAGGCGCAGGGCUGGGAGGCGCAGGCGACGGCGGGGGCACACCCGGCGCGGGGCUGGGCGGCUCCGGCGAAGGCGGUGGCGUGCCAGGCGCAGGGCUGGGAGGCGCAGGCGACGGCGGGGGCACACCCGGCGCGGGGCUAGGCGGCUCUGGCGAAGGCGGCGCAGGGCUGGGAGGCGCAGGGCUGGGAGGCACAGGCGACGGCGGGGGCACACCCGGUGCGGGGCUGGGCGGCUCCGGCGAAGGCGGCGCAGGGCUGGGAGGCGCAGGGCUGGGAGGCGAAGGCGAAGGCGGGGGCACACCCGGUCCGGGGCUGGGCGGCUCCGGCGAAGGUGGCGGCGUGCCAGGCGCAGGGCUGGGAGGCGCAGGCGACGGCGGGGGCACACCCGGCGCGGGGCUGGGCGGCUCCGGCGAAGGCGGUGGCGUGCCAGGCGCAGGGCUGGGAGGCGCAGGCGACGGCGGGGGCACACCCGGCGCGGGGCUGGGCGGCUCCGGCGAAGGUGGCGGCGUGCCAGGCGCAGGGCUGGGAGGCGCAGGCGACGGCGGGGGCACACCCGGCGCAGGGCUGGGCGGCUCCGGCGAAGGCGGCGGCGUGCCAGGUGCAGGGCUGGGAGGCGCAGGCGACGGCGGGGGCACGCCCGGCGCGGAGCUGGGCGGCUCCGGCGAAGGCGGCGGCGUGCCAGGCGCAGGGCUGGGAGGCGCAGGCGACGGCGGGGGCACACCCGCCGCGGGGCUGGGCGGCUCCGGCGAAGGCGGCGGCGUGCCAGGCGCAGGGCUGGGAGGCGCAGGCGACGGCGGGGGCACACCCGGCGCGGGGCUGGGCGGCUCCGGCGAAGGUGGCGGCGUGCCAGGCGCAGGGCUGGGAGGCGCAGGCGACGGCGGGGGCACACCCGGCGCGGGGCUAGGCGGCUCUGGCGAAGGCGGCGCAGGGCUGGGAGGCGCAGGGCUGGGAGGCGCAGGCGACGGCGGGGGCACACCCGGUGCGGGGCUGGGCGGCUCCGGCGAAGGCGGCGGAGUACCAGGCGCAGGGCUGGGAGGCGCAGGCGACGGCGGGGGCACGCCCGGACCGGGGCUAGGCGGCUCUGGCGAAGGUGGCGGCGUACCAGGCGCGGGGCUGGGAGGCGCAGGCGACGGCGGGGGCACGCCCGGCGCGGGGCUGGGCGGCUCCGGCGAAGGAGGCGGCGUGCCAGGCGCAGGGCUGGGAGGCGCAGGCGACGGCGGGGGCACACCCGGUCCGGGGCUGGGCGGCUCCGGCGAAGGCGGCGGCGUGCCAGGCGCAGGGCUGGGAGGCGCAGGCGACGGCGGGGGCACACCCGGCGCGGGGCUGGGCGGCUCCGGCGAAGGCGGCGGCGUGCCAGGCGCAGGGCUGGGAGGCGCAGGCGACGGCGGGGGCACACCCGGCGCGGGGCUGGGCGGCUCCGGCGAAGGCGGCGGCGUGCCAGGCGCAGGGCUGGGAGGCGCAGGCGACGGCGGGGGCACACCCGGCGCGGGGCUGGGCGGCUCCGGCGAAGGCGGUGGCGUGCCAGGCGCAGGGCUGGGAGGCGCAGGCGACGGCGGGGGCACACCCGGCGCGGGGCUAGGCGGCUCUGGCGAAGGCGGCGGCGUACCAGGCGCAGGGCUGGGAGGCGCAGGCGACGGCGGGGGCACACCCGGACCGGGGCUGGGCGGCUCCGGCGAAGGUGGCGGCGUGCCAGGCGCGGGGCUGGGAGGCGCAGGCGACGGCGGGGGCACACCCGGCGCGGGGCUGGGCGGCUCCGGCGAAGGCGGCGCAGGGCUGGGAGGCGCAGGGCUGGGCGGCUCCGGCGAAGGCGGCGGCGUGCCAGGCGCAGGGCUGGGAGGCGAAGGCGAAGGCGGGGGCACACCCGGCGCGGGGCUGGGCGGCUCCGGCGAAGGUGGCGGCGUGCCAGGCGCAGGGCUGGGAGGUGCAGGCGACGGCGGGGGCACACCCGGCGCGGGGCUGGGCGGCUCCGGCGAAGUCGGCGGCGUGCCAGGCCUUUCCAGCACANNNNNNNNNNNNNNNNNNNNNNNNNNNNNNNNNNNNNNNNNNNNNNNNNNNNNNNNNNNNNNNNNNNNNNNNNNNNNNNNNNNNNNNNNNNNNNNNNNNNGGGCACCACAGGCGCGGGGCUAGGCGGCUCCGGCGAAGGCGGCGGAGUACCAGGCGCAGGGCUGGGAGGCGCAGGCGACGGCGGGGGCACACCCGGCGCGGGGCUAGGCGGCUCCGGCGAAGGUGGCGGCGUACCAGGCGCAGGGCUGGGAGGCGCAUGCGACGGCGGGGGCACACCAGGUCCGGGGCUGGGCGGCUCCGGCGAAGGCGGCGGCGUGCCAGGCGCAGGGCUGGGAGGCGCAGGCGACGGAGGGGGCACACCCGGCGCGGGGCUGGGCGGCUCCGGCGAAGGCGGCGGCGUGCCAGGCGCAGGGCUGGGAGGCGCAGGCGACGGAGGGGGCACACCCGGCGCGGGGCUGGGCGGCUCCGGCGAAGGCGGCGGCGUGCCAGGCGCAGGGCUGGGAGGCGCAGGCGACGGCGGGGGCACACCCGGCGCGGGGCUGGGCGGCUCCGGCGAAGGCGGCGGCGUGCCAGGCGCAGGGCUGGGAGGCGCAGGCGACGGCGGGGGCACACCCGGCGCGGGGCUAGGCGGCUCCGGCGAAGGCGGCGGAGUACCAGGCGCAGGGCUGGGAGGCGCAGGCGACGGCGGGGGCACACCAGGUCCGGGGCUGGGCGGCUCCGGCGAAGGAGGCGGCGUGCCAGGCGCAGGGCUGGGAGGCGCAGGCGACGGAGGGGGCACACCCGGCGCGGGGCUGGGCGGCUCCGGCGAAGGCGGCGGCGCGCCAGGCGCAGGGCUAGGAGGCGCAGGCGACGGCGGGGGCACGCCCGGUCCGGGGCUGGGCGGCUCCGGCGAAGGCGGCGGCGCGCCAGGCGCGGGGCUGGGAGGCGCAGGCGACGGCGGGGGCACGCCCGGCGCGGGGCUGGGCGGCUCCGGCGAAGGCGGCGGAGUACCAGGCGCAGGGCUGGGAGGCGCAGGCGACGGCGGGGGCACACCCGGCGCAGGGCUGGGCGGCUCCGGCGAAGGAGGCGGCGUGCCAGGCGCGGGGCUGGGAGGCGCAGGCGACGGCGGGGGCACACCCGGCGCGGGGCUGGGCGGCUCCGGCGAAGGCGGCGGCGUGCCAGGCGCAGGGCUGGGAGGCGCAGGCGACGGAGGGGGCACACCCGGCGCGGGGCUGGGCGGCUCCGGCGAAGGCGGCGGCGUGCCAGGCGCAGGGCUGGGAGGCGCAGGCGACGGCGGGGGCACACCCGGCGCGGGGCUGGGCGGCUCCGGCGAAGGGGGCGCAGGGCUGGGAGGCGCAGGGCUGGGAGGCGCCGGCGAAGGCGGGGGCACACCCGGCGCAGGGCUGGGCGGCUCCGGCGAAGGCGGCGCAGGGCUGGGAGGCGCAGGCGACGGCGGGGGCACACCCGGCGCGGGGCUGGGCGGCUCCGGCGAGGGAGGCGCGGGGCUGGGAGGCGCAGGCGACGGCGGGGGCACACCCGGCGCGGGGCUGGGCGGCUCCGGCGAAGGUGGCGGCGUACCAGGCGCAGGGCUGGGAGGCGCAGGCGACGGAGGGGGCACACCCGGUCCGGGGCUGGGCGGCUCCGGCGAAGGCGGCGGCGUGCCAGGCGCAGGGCUGGGAGGCGCAGGCGACGGCGGCGCAGGGCUGGGCGGGGCCGGCGAGGGAGGCGCGGGGCUGGGAGGCGCAGGCGACGGUGGCGCAGGCGACGGCGGCGCAGGGCUGGGCGGGGCCGGCGAGGGAGGCGCGGGGCUGGGCGGCGCGGGCGACGGCGGCGGCAGCAGGCCGCAGCGGCUGUCGGGCGGCGCCAGGGGCACCUCCAGCGACGUCGGGUCCACGCUGCCGGGGCUGGCGCUAGGCGUGGUAGACCAGCUCAUGCCGGCGGCGCCAGGCUCCUGGUUGCCAGUGUUGCCGCUGCCAGUGCGCUCGAUGGAGCUGCCGGGCGCCGUGGUGAGGCCGCUCUCGGCCACACCCGUGACCUCGGGCAGCACCACAAAGUACGCGCCCUUGGCGGGGCCGUCCAGCGGCACCAGGCUCACCGAGCCAGCGGGCAGCGGGUUGGCGCUGUCGUUGCCGUAAGCCACGUAGUCAAGCACCUUGAGCGUGUCCGCCUCCGCGCAGUGCGACACCAGAGCGAUGCCGCCCAUGAGCGCAGCACCGGCAGGCACCACGGGCAGCAGACCGCCAGCCGAAGCCAGCGGCCCGCCGGCAGUGGCCCUCACGGUCACCACCGAGAAGCCAGUGCCAGGCAGCUCCGACACGGCCAGCGUCACGCCGCUCGAGGCCGGCGGCGGCGAGCCCAGCGGGAUGUCAACCACCAGGCUGCCGCCAGCCGCGCUGUAGGUGUAGGUCGCCAGGCUCAGCGUGGACAGGUCCAGCAUGGUCGGCACGAUGAGCUCCACAAACUGGGCAGACGCCUGGCCGCUGGUGUCCACGUAGUGGAACUCGCUGAUGAAGCUGUGCGGGCAGGGCGAGCACACCGGCGGAGGCGCGGGGCUGGGCGGCGCAGGCGACGGCGGCGCAGGCGACGGCGGCGCAGGGCUGGGCGGGGCCGGCGAGGGAGGCGCGGGGCUGGGAGGCGCAGGCGACGGUGGCGCAGGCGACGGCGGCGCAGGGCUGGGCGGGGCCGGCGAGGGAGGCGCGGGGCUGGGCGGCGCGGGCGACGGCGGCGGCAGCAGGCCGCAGCGGCUGUCGGGCGGCGCCAGGGGCACCUCCAGCGACGUCGGGUCCACGCUGCCGGGGCUGGCGCUAGGCGUGGUAGACCAGCUCAUGCCGGCGGCGCCAGGCUCCUGGUUGCCAGUGUUGCCGCUGCCAGUGCGCUCGAUGGAGCUGCCGGGCGCCGUGGUGAGGCCGCUCUCGGUCACACCCGUGACCUCGGGCAGCACCACAAAGUACGCGCCCUUGGCGGGGCCGUCCAGCGGCACCAGGCUCACCGAGCCAGCGGGCAGCGGGUUGGCGCUGUCGUUGCCGUAAGCCACGUAGUCAAGCACCUUGAGCGUGUCCGCCUCCGCGCAGUGCGACACCAGAGCGAUGCCGCCCAUGAGCGCAGCACCGGCAGGCACCACGGGCAGCAGACCGCCAGCCGAAGCCAGCGGCCCGCCGGCAGUGGCCCUCACGGUCACCACCGAGAAGCCAGUGCCAGGCAGCUCCGACACGGCCAGCGUCACGCCGCUCGAGGCCGGCGGCGGCGAGCCCAGCGGGAUGUCAACCACCAGGCUGCCGCCAGCCGCGCUGUAGGUGUAGGUCGCCAGGCUCAGCGUGGACAGGUCCAGCAUGGUCGGCACGAUCAGCUCCACAAACUGGGCAGACGCCUGGCCGCUGGUGUCCACGUAGUGGAACUCGCUGAUGAAGCUGUGUGGGCAGGGCGAGCACACCGGCGGAGGCGCGGGGCUGGGCGGCGCAGGCGACGGCGGCGCAGGCGACGGCGGCGCAGGGCUGGGCGGGGCCGGCGAGGGAGGCGCGGGGCUGGGAGGCGCAGGCGACGGUGGCGCAGGCGACGGCGGCGCAGGGCUGGGCGGGGCCGGCGAGGGAGGCGCGGGGCUGGGCGGCGCGGGCGACGGCGGCGGCAGCAGGCCGCAGCGGCUGUCGGGCGGCGCCAGGGGCACCUCCAGCGACGUCGGGUCCACGCUGCCGGGGCUGGCGCUAGGCGUGGUAGACCAGCUCAUGCCGGCGGCGCCAGGCUCCUGGUUGCCAGUGUUGCCGCUGCCAGUGCGCUCGAUGGAGCUGCCGGGCGCCGUGGUGAGGCCGCUCUCGGCCACACCCGUGACCUCGGGCAGCACCACAAAGUACGCGCCCUUGGCGGGGCCGUCCAGCGGCACCAGGCUCACCGAGCCAGCGGGCAGCGGGUUGGCGCUGUCGUUGCCGUAGGCCACGUAGUCAAGCACCUUGAGCGUGUCCGCCUCCGCGCAGUGCGACACCAGAGCGAUGCCGCCCAUGAGCGCAGCACCGGCAGGCACCACGGGCAGCAGACCGCCAGCCGAAGCCAGCGGCCCGCCGGCAGUGGCCCUCACGGUCACCACCGAGAAGCCAGUGCCAGGCAGCUCCGACACGGCCAGCGUCACGCCGCUCGAGGCCGGCGGCGGCGAGCCCAGCGGGAUGUCAACCACCAGGCUGCCGCCAGCCGCGCUGUAGGUGUAGGUCGCCAGGCUCAGUGUGGACAGGUCCAGCAUGGUCGGCACGAUCAGCUCCACAAACUGGGCAGACGCCUGGCCGCUGGUGUCCACGUAGUGGAACUCGCUGAUGAAGCUGUGCGGGCAGGGCGAGCACACCGGCGGAGGCGCGGGGCUGGGCGGCGCAGGCGACGGCGGCGCAGGCGACGGCGGCGCAGGGCUGGGCGGGGCCGGCGAGGGAGGCGCGGGGCUGGGAGGCGCAGGCGACGGUGGCGCAGGCGACGGCGGCGCAGGGCUGGGCGGGGCCGGCGAGGGAGGCGCGGGGCUGGGCGGCGCGGGCGACGGCGGCGGCAGCAGGCCGCAGCGGCUGUCGGGCGGCGCCAGGGGCACCUCCAGCGACGUCGGGUCCACGCUGCCGGGGCUGGCGCUAGGCGUGGUAGACCAGCUCAUGCCGGCGGCGCCAGGCUCCUGGUUGCCAGUGUUGCCGCUGCCAGUGCGCUCGAUGGAGCUGCCGGGGGCCGUGGUGAGGCCGCUCUCGGCCACACCCGUGACCUCGGGCAGCACCACAAAGUACGCGCCCUUGGCGGGGCCGUCCAGCGGCACCAGGCUCACCGAGCCAGCGGGCAGCGGGUUGGCGCUGUCGUUGCCGUAGGCCACGUAGUCAAGCACCUUGAGCGUGUCCGCCUCCGCGCAGUGCGACACCAGAGCGAUGCCGCCCAUGAGCGCAGCACCGGCAGGCACCACGGGCAGCAGACCGCCAGCCGAAGCCAGCGGCCCGCCGGCAGUGGCCCUCACGGUCACCACCGAGAAGCCAGUGCCAGGCAGCUCCGACACGGCCAGCGUCACGCCGCUCGAGGCCGGCGGCGGCGAGCCCAGCGGGAUGUCAACCACCAGGCUGCCGCCAGCCGCGCUGUAGGUGUAGGUCGCCAGGCUCAGCGUGGACAGGUCCAGCAUGGUCGGCACGAUCAGCUCCACAAACUGGGCAGACGCCUGGCCGCUGGUGUCCACGUAGUGGAACUCGCUGAUGAAGCUGUGUGGGCAGGGCGAGCACACCGGCGGAGGCGCGGGGCUGGGCGUCGCAGGCGACGGCGGCGCAGGCGACGGCGGCGCAGGGCUGGGCGGGGCCGGCGAGGGAGGCGCGGGGCUGGGAGGCGCAGGCGACGGUGGCGCAGGCGACGGCGGCGCAGGGCUGGGCGGGGCCGGCGAGGGAGGCGCGGGGCUGGGCGGCGCGGGCGACGGCGGCGGCAGCAGGCCGCAGCGGCUGUCGGGCGGCGCCAGGGGCACCUCCAGCGACGUCGGGUCCACGCUGCCGGGGCUGGCGCUAGGCGUGGUAGACCAGCUCAUGCCGGCGGCGCCAGGCUCCUGGUUGCCAGUGUUGCCGCUGCCAGUGCGCUCGAUGGAGCUGCCGGGCGCCGUGGUGAGGCCGCUCUCGGCCACACCCGUGACCUCGGGCAGCACCACAAAGUACGCGCCCUUGGCGGGGCCGUCCAGCGGCACCAGGCUCACCGAGCCAGCGGGCAGCGGGUUGGCGCUGUCGUUGCCGUAGGCCACGUAGUCAAGCACCUUGAGCGUGUCCGCCUCCGCGCAGUGCGACACCAGAGCGAUGCCGCCCAUGAGCGCAGCACCGGCAGGCACCACGGGCAGCAGACCGCCAGCCGAAGCCAGCGGCCCGCCGGCAGUGGCCCUCACGGUCACCACCGAGAAGCCAGUGCCAGGCAGCUCCGACACGGCCAGCGUCACGCCGCUCGAGGCCGGCGGCGGCGAGCCCAGCGGGAUGUCAACCACCAGGCUGCCGCCAGCCGCGCUGUAGGUGUAGGUCGCCAGGCUCAGCGUGGACAGGUCCAGCAUGGUCGGCACGAUCAGCUCCACAAACUGGGCAGACGCCUGGCCGCUGGUGUCCACGUAGUGGAACUCGCUGAUGAAGCUGUGUGGGCAGGGCGAGCACACCGGCGGAGGCGCGGGGCUGGGCGGCGCAGGCGACGGCGGCGCAGGCGACGGCGGCGCAGGGCUGGGCGGGGCCGGCGAGGGAGGCGCGGGGCUGGGAGGCGCAGGCGACGGUGGCGCAGGCGACGGCGGCGCAGGGCUGGGCGGGGCCGGCGAGGGAGGCGCGGGGCUGGGCGGCGCGGGCGACGGCGGCGGCAGCAGGCCGCAGCGGCUGUCGGGCGGCGCCAGGGGCACCUCCAGUGACGUCGGGUCCACGCUGCCGGGGCUGGCGCUAGGCGUGGUAGACCAGCUCAUGCCGGCGGCGCCAGGCUCCUGGUUGCCAGUGUUGCCGCUGCCAGUGCGCUCGAUGGAGCUGCCGGGCGCCGUGGUGAGGCCGCUCUCGGCCACACCCGUGACCUCGGGCAGCACCACAAAGUACGCGCCCUUGGCGGGGCCGUCCAGCGGCACCAGGCUCACCGAGCCAGCGGGCAGCGGGUUGGCGCUGUCGUUGCCGUAGGCCACGUAGUCAAGCACCUUGAGCGUGUCCGCCUCCGCGCAGUGCGACACCAGAGCGAUGCCGCCCAUGAGCGCAGCACCGGCAGGCACCACGGGCAGCAGACCGCCAGCCGAAGCCAGCGGCCCGCCGGCAGUGGCCCUCACGGUCACCACCGAGAAGCCAGUGCCAGGCAGCUCCGACACGGCCAGCGUCACGCCGCUCGAGGCCGGCGGCGGCGAGCCCAGCGGGAUGUCAACCACCAGGCUGCCGCCAGCCGCGCUGUAGGUGUAGGUCGCCAGGCUCAGCGUGGACAGGUCCAGCAUGGUCGGCACGAUCAGCUCCACAAACUGGGCAGACGCCUGGCCGCUGGUGUCCACGUAGUGGAACUCGCUGAUGAAGCUGUGCGGGCAGGGCGAGCACACCGGCGGAGGCGCGGGGCUGGGCGGCGCAGGCGACGGCGGCGCAGGCGACGGCGGCGCAGGGCUGGGCGGGGCCGGCGAGGGAGGCGCGGGGCUGGGAGGCGCAGGCGACGGUGGCGCAGGCGACGGCGGCGCAGGGCUGGGCGGGGCCGGCGAGGGAGGCGCGGGGCUGGGCGGCGCAGGCGAGGGAGGCGCGGGGCUGGGCGGCGCGGGCGACGGCGGCGGCAGCAGGCCGCAGCGGCUGUCGGGCGGCGCCAGGGGCACCUCCAGCGACGUCGGGUCCACGCUGCCGGGGCUGGCGCUAGGCGUGGUAGACCAGCUCAUGCCGGCGGCGCCAGGCUCCUGGUUGCCAGUGUUGCCGCUGCCAGUGCGCUCGAUGGAGCUGCCGGGCGCCGUGGUGAGGCCGCUCUCGGCCACACCCGUGACCUCGGGCAGCACCACAAAGUACGCGCCCUUGGCGGGGCCGUCCAGCGGCACCAGGCUCACCGAGCCAGCGGGCAGCGGGUUGGCGCUGUCGUUGCCGUAGGCCACGUAGUCAAGCACCUUGAGCGUGUCCGCCUCCGCGCAGUGCGACACCAGAGCGAUGCCGCCCAUGAGCGCAGCACCGGCAGGCACCACGGGCAGCAGACCGCCAGCCGAAGCCAGCGGCCCGCCGGCAGUGGCCCUCACGGUCACCACCGAGAAGCCAGUGCCAGGCAGCUCCGACACGGCCAGCGUCACGCCGCUCGAGGCCGGCGGUGGCGAGCCCAGCGGGAUGUCAACCACCAGGCUGCCGCCAGCCGCGCUGUAGGUGUAGGUCGCCAGGCUCAGCGUGGACAGGUCCAGCAUGGUCGGCACGAUGAGCUCCACAAACUGGGCAGACGCCUGGCCGCUGGUGUCCACGUAGUGGAACUCGCUGAUGAAGCUGUGCGGGCAGGGCGAGCACACCGGCGGAGGCGCGGGGCUGGGCGGCGCAGGCGACGGCGGCGCAGGCGACGGCGGCGCAGGGCUGGGCGGGGCCGGCGAGGGAGGCGCGGGGCUGGGAGGCGCAGGCGACGGUGGCGCAGGCGACGGCGGCGCAGGGCUGGGCGGGGCCGGCGAGGGAGGCGCGGGGCUGGGCGGCGCGGGCGACGGCGGCGGCAGCAGGCCGCAGCGGCUGUCGGGCGGCGCCAGGGGCACCUCCAGCGACGUCGGGUCCACGCUGCCGGGGCUGGCGCUAGGCGUGGUAGACCAGCUCAUGCCGGCGGCGCCAGGCUCCUGGUUGCCAGUGUUGCCGCUGCCAGUGCGCUCGAUGGAGCUGCCGGGCGCCGUGGUGAGGCCGCUCUCGGCCACACCCGUGACCUCGGGCAGCACCACAAAGUACGCGCCCUUGGCGGGGCCGUCCAGCGGCACCAGGCUCACCGAGCCAGCGGGCAGCGGGUUGGCGCUGUCGUUGCCGUAGGCCACGUAGUCAAGCACCUUGAGCGUGUCCGCCUCCGCGCAGUGCGACACCAGAGCGAUGCCGCCCAUGAGCGCAGCACCGGCAGGCACCACGGGCAGCAGACCGCCAGCCGAAGCCAGCGGCCCGCCGGCAGUGGCCCUCACGGUCACCACCGAGAAGCCAGUGCCAGGCAGCUCCGACACGGCCAGCGUCACGCCGCUCGAGGCCGGCGGUGGCGAGCCCAGCGGGAUGUCAACCACCAGGCUGCCGCCAGCCGCGCUGUAGGUGUAGGUCGCCAGGCUCAGCGUGGACAGGUCCAGCAUGGUCGGCACGAUCAGCUCCACAAACUGGGCAGACGCCUGGCCGCUGGUGUCCACGUAGUGGAACUCGCUGAUGAAGCUGUGCGGGCAGGGCGAGCACACCGGCGGAGGCGCGGGGCUGGGCGGCGCAGGCGACGGCGGCGCAGGCGACGGCGGCGCAGGGCUGGGCGGGGCCGGCGAGGGAGGCGCGGGGCUGGGAGGCGCAGGCGACGGUGGCGCAGGCGACGGCGGCGCAGGGCUGGGCGGGGCCGGCGAGGGAGGCACGGGGCUGGGCGGCGCAGGCGAGGGAGGCGCGGGGCUGGGCGGCGCGGGCGACGGCGGCGGCAGCAGGCCGCAGCGGCUGUCGGGCGGCGCCAGGGGCACCUCCAGCGACGUCGGGUCCACGCUGCCGGGGCUGGCGCUAGGCGUGGUAGACCAGCUCAUGCCGGCGGCGCCAGGCUCCUGGUUGCCAGUGUUGCCGCUGCCAGUGCGCUCGAUGGAGCUGCCGGGCGCCGUGGUGAGGCCGCUCUCGGCCACACCCGUGACCUCGGGCAGCACCACAAAGUACGCGCCCUUGGCGGGGCCGUCCAGCGGCACCAGGCUCACCGAGCCAGCGGGCAGCGGGUUGGCGCUGUCGUUGCCGUAGGCCACGUAGUCAAGCACCUUGAGCGUGUCCGCCUCCGCGCAGUGCGACACCAGAGCGAUGCCGCCCAUGAGCGCAGCACCGGCGGGCACCACGGGCAGCAGACCGCCAGCCGAAGCCAGCGGCCCGCCGGCAGUGGCCCUCACGGUCACCACCGAGAAGCCAGUGCCAGGCAGCUCCGACACGGCCAGCGUCACGCCGCUCGAGGCCGGCGGCGGCGAGCCCAGCGGGAUGUCAACCACCAGGCUGCCGCCAGCCGCGCUGUAGGUGUAGGUCGCCAGGCUCAGCGUGGACAGGUCCAGCAUGGUCGGCACGAUGAGCUCCACAAACUGGGCAGACGCCUGGCCGCUGGUGUCCACGUAGUGGAACUCGCUGAUGAAGCUGUGCGGGCAGGGCGAGCACACCGGCGGAGGCGCGGGGCUGGGCGGCGCAGGCGACGGCGGCGCAGGCGACGGCGGCGCAGGGCUGGGCGGGGCCGGCGAGGGAGGCGCGGGGCUGGGAGGCGCAGGCGAGGGAGGCGCAGGCGACGGCGGCGCAGGGCUGGGCGGGGCCGGCGAGGGAGGCGCGGGGCUGGGCGGCGCGGGCGACGGCGGCGGCAGCAGGCCGCAGCGGCUGUCGGGCGGCGCCAGGGGCACCUCCAGCGACGUCGGGUCCACGCUGCCGGGGCUGGCGCUAGGCGUGGUAGACCAGCUCAUGCCGGCGGCGCCAGGCUCCUGGUUGCCAGUGUUGCCGCUGCCAGUGCGCUCGAUGGAGCUGCCGGGCGCCGUGGUGAGGCCGCUCUCGGCCACACCCGUGACCUCGGGCAGCACCACAAAGUACGCGCCCUUGGCGGGGCCGUCCAGCGGCACCAGGCUCACCGAGCCAGCGGGCAGCGGGUUGGCGCUGUCGUUGCCGUAGGCCACGUAGUCAAGCACCUUGAGCGUGUCCGCCUCCGCGCAGUGCGACACCAGCGCGAUGCCGCCCAUGAGCGCAGCACCGGCAGGCACCACGGGCAGCAGACCGCCAGCCGAAGCCAGCGGCCCGCCGGCAGUGGCCCUCACGGUCACCACCGAGAAGCCAGUGCCAGGCAGCUCCGACACGGCCAGCGUCACGCCGCUCGAGGCCGGCGGCGGCGAGCCCAGCGGGAUGUCAACCACCAGGCUGCCGCCAGCCGCGCUGUAGGUGUAGGUCGCCAGGCUCAGCGUGGACAGGUCCAGCAUGGUCGGCACGAUCAGCUCCACAAACUGGGCAGACGCCUGGCCGCUGGUGUCCACGUAGUGGAACUCGCUGAUGAAGCUGUGCGGGCAGGGCGAGCACACCGGCGGAGGCGCGGGGCUGGGCGGCGCAGGCGACGGCGGCGCAGGCGACGGCGGCGCAGGGCUGGGCGGGGCCGGCGAGGGAGGCGCGGGGCUGGGAGGCGCAGGCGACGGUGGCGCAGGCGACGGCGGCGCAGGGCUGGGCGGGGCCGGCGAGGGAGGCGCGGGGCUGGGCGGCGCGGGCGACGGCGGCGGCAGCAGGCCGCAGCGGCUGUCGGGCGGCGCCAGGGGCACCUCCAGUGACGUCGGGUCCACGCUGCCGGGGCUGGCGCUAGGCGUGGUAGACCAGCUCAUGCCGGCGGCGCCAGGCUCCUGGUUGCCAGUGUUGCCGCUGCCAGUGCGCUCGAUGGAGCUGCCGGGCGCCGUGGUGAGGCCGCUCUCGGCCACACCCGUGACCUCGGGCAGCACCACAAAGUACGCGCCCUUGGCGGGGCCGUCCAGCGGCACCAGGCUCACCGAGCCAGCGGGCAGCGGGUUGGCGCUGUCGUUGCCGUAGGCCACGUAGUCAAGCACCUUGAGCGUGUCCGCCUCCGCGCAGUGCGACACCAGAGCGAUGCCGCCCAUGAGCGCAGCACCGGCAGGCACCACGGGCAGCAGACCGCCAGCCGAAGCCAGCGGCCCGCCGGCAGUGGCCCUCACGGUCACCACCGAGAAGCCAGUGCCAGGCAGCUCCGACACGGCCAGCGUCACGCCGCUCGAGGCCGGCGGCGGCGAGCCCAGCGGGAUGUCAACCACCAGGCUGCCGCCAGCCGCGCUGUAGGUGUAGGUCGCCAGGCUCAGCGUGGACAGGUCCAGCAUGGUCGGCACGAUGAGCUCCACAAACUGGGCAGACGCCUGGCCGCUGGUGUCCACGUAGUGGAACUCGCUGAUGAAGCUGUGCGGGCAGGGCGAGCACACCGGCGGAGGCGCGGGGCUGGGCGGCGCAGGCGACGGCGGCGCAGGCGACGGCGGCGCAGGGCUGGGCGGGGCAGGCGACGGCGGCGCAGGGCUGGGCGGGGCCGGCGAGGGAGGCGCGGGGCUGGGAGGCGCAGGCGACGGUGGCGCAGGCGACGGCGGCGCAGGGCUGGGCGGGGCCGGCGAGGGAGGCGCGGGGCUGGGCGGCGCGGGCGACGGCGGCGGCAGCAGGCCGCAGCGGCUGUCGGGCGGCGCCAGGGGCACCUCCAGCGACGUCGGGUCCACGCUGCCGGGGCUGGCGCUAGGCGUGGUAGACCAGCUCAUGCCGGCGGCGCCAGGCUCCUGGUUGCCAGUGUUGCCGCUGCCAGUGCGCUCGAUGGAGCUGCCGGGCGCCGUGGUGAGGCCGCUCUCGGCCACACCCGUGACCUCGGGCAGCACCACAAAGUACGCGCCCUUGGCGGGGCCGUCCAGCGGCACCAGGCUCACCGAGCCAGCGGGCAGCGGGUUGGCGCUGUCGUUGCCGUAGGCCACGUAGUCAAGCACCUUGAGCGUGUCCGCCUCCGCGCAGUGCGACACCAGAGCGAUGCCGCCCAUGAGCGCAGCACCGGCAGGCACCACGGGCAGCAGACCGCCAGCCGAAGCCAGNNNNNNNNNNNNNNNNNNNNNNNNNNNNNNNNNNNNNNNNNNNNNNNNNNNNNNNNNNNNNNNNNNNNNNNNNNNNNNNNNNNNNNNNNNNNNNNNNNNNNNNNNNNNNNNNNNNNNNNNNNNNNNNNNNNNNNNNNNNNNNNNNNNNNNNNNNNNNNNNNNNNNNNNNNNNNNNNNNNNNNNNNNNNNNNNNNNNNNNNNNNNNNNNNNNNNNNNNNNNNNNNNNNNNNNNNNNNNNNNNNNNNNNNNNNNNNNNNNNNNNNNNNNNNNNNNNNNNNNGGCUGGCGCUAGGCGUGGUAGACCAGCUCAUGCCGGCGGCGCCUGGCUCCUGGUUGCCAGUGUUGCCGCUGCCAGUGCGCUCGAUGGAGCUGCCGGGCGCCGUGGUGAGGCCGCUCUCGGCCACACCCGUGACCUCGGGCAGCACCACAAAGUACGCGCCCUUGGCGGGGCCGUCCAGCGGCACCAGGCUCACCGAGCCAGCGGGCAGCGGGUUGGCGCUGUCGUUGCCGUAGGCCACGUAGUCAAGCACCUUGAGCGUGUCCGCCUCCGCGCAGUGCGACACCAGAGCGAUGCCGCCCAUGAGCGCAGCACCGGCAGGCACCAUGGGCAGCAGACCGCCAGCCGAAGCCAGCGGCCCGCCGGCAGUGGCCCUCACGGUCACCACCGAGAAGCCAGUGCCAGGCAGCUCCGACACGGCCAGCGUCACGCCGCUCGAGGCCGGCGGCGGCGAGCCCAGCGGGAUGUCAACCACUAGGCUGCCGCCAGCCGCGCUGUAGGUGUAGGUCGCCAGGCUCAGUGUGGACAGGUCCAGCAUGGUCGGCACGAUCAGCUCCACAAACUGGGCAGACGCCUGGCCGCUGGUGUCCACGUAGUGGAACUCGCUGAUGAAGCUGUGCGGGCAGGGCGAGCACACCGGCGGAGGCGCGGGGCUGGGCGGCGCAGGCGACGGCGGCGCAGGCGACGGCGGCGCAGGGCUGGGCGGGGCCGGCGAGGGAGGCGCGGGGCUGGGAGGCGCAGGCGACGGUGGCGCAGGCGACGGCGGCGCAGGGCUGGGCGGGGCCGGCGAGGGAGGCGCGGGGCUGGGCGGCUGCGGCGAUGGCG